CAACAGGGAUUGCCUUAGUAGCGGCGAGUGAAGCGGCAAAAGCUCAAAUUUGAAAUCUGGCUCUUUCAGAGUCCGAGUUGUAAUUUGAAGAAGGUAUCUUUGGGUCUGGCUCUUGUCUAUGUUUCUUGGAACAGAACGUCACAGAGGGUGAGAAUCCCGUGCGAUGAGAUGAUCCAGGCCUAUGUAAAGUUCCUUCGAAGAGUCGAGUUGUUUGGGAAUGCAGCUCUAAGUGGGUGGUAAAUUCCAUCUAAAGCUAAAUAUUGGCGAGAGACCGAUAGCGAACAAGUACAGUGAUGGAAAGAUGAAAAGAACUUUGAAAAGAGAGUGAAAAAGUACGUGAAAUUGUUGAAAGGGAAGGGCUUGAGAUCAGACUUGGUAUUUUGUAUGUUACUUCUUCGGGGGUGGCCUCUACAGUUUAUCGGGCCAGCAUCAGUUUGGGCGGUAGGAGAAUUGCGUUGGAAUGUGGCACGGCUUCGGUUGUGUGUUAUAGCCUUCGUCGAUACUGCCAGCCUAGACUGAGGACUGCGGUUUAUACCUAGGAUGUUGGCAUAAUGAUCUU
rnacentral:rRNA from 1 species